GGCGGGACACGUGGUAUCCUGUCUGAAUAUGGGGGGACCAUCCUCCAAGGCUAAAUACUCCUGACUGACCGAUAGUGAACCAGUACCGUGAGGGAAAGGCGAAAAGAACCCCGGCGAGGGGAGUGAAAAAGAACCUGAAACCGUGUACGUACAAGCAGUGGGAGCACAGGUUUACCUGUGUGACUGCGUACCUUUUGUAUAAUGGGUCAGCGACUUAUAUUCUGUAGCAAGGUUAACCGAAUAGGGGAGCCGGAGGGAAACCGAGUCUUAAYYGGGCGUUAAGUUGCAGGGUAUAGACCCGAAACCCGGUGAUCUAGCCAUGGGCAGGUUGAAGGUUGGGUAACACUAACUGGAGGACCGAACCGACUAAUGUUGAAAAAUUAGCGGAUGACCUGUGGCUGGGGGUGAAAGGCCAAUCAAACCGGGAGAUAGCUGGUUCUCCCCGAAAGCUAUUUAGGUAGCGCCUCGUGAAUUCAUCUCCGGGGGUAGAGCACUGUUUCGGCUAGGGGGCCAUCCCGGCUU
rnacentral:rRNA from 1 species